rnacentral:lncRNA from 1 species
UAUGUUUUUUUUUUUUUAAUUACUGUUUUAUUUGGAAAAAGUGCUUCUUGCAAAAGGGAAGCUGCAAAACAGAGACCUCUGCAACAAUUACUUGUUUUUUCUUAAAGUGAAAGAAUGGGUGGGAUCCAAGGAAUCAAAGCAGUAGAUGGACGACCAGGAGCACCCCAAGUUAUCUUCAGGAAACAGAGCGACAAAACGCAAAGGAAGCCGGAAGCACGACCACUCUUUACCCUCGGCCUCAUUACAAGACCAAGACCUCUGCCUCGGCGCGGCAGCUCUCACCUGGAAUCCCAGCACUUUGGGAGGCCGAAGCGGACGGAUCACCUGAGGUGUCAGGAGUUUGAGACCAGCCUGGCCAACAAGGGACGCUCACCUACCUCAUGAAUUACGCGUGUCGCCCUCCUCGAGACGCCACAACGCAGUCCCCUGGGGAGCCAGCCGGAGACCUCUCCCUGCGGUGCUGUCUCCCCCGUGGUGGAACGGAAGCCCCUAAUAAAGCCUUGUCUGGGAAAUUUGCUUGGCCUCGUGUCAAUUUUUAUCGGAGCCUAAAGAACCUGUGUCCCCCUCCUCCCACACCCUGGCAACUGUGAAUCUGCUUUUGAUCUCUAUGGAUUUGGCUACUCUGGAUAUUUCAUGCUGGAGUGCAAUGGUGAGAUCUCGGCUCACUGCAAC